UUUCUACAAGUGUUAUCCAAACAGGAGGAAUUAGUGCAUUUGUUUGGGACUAUUUUCAGCUGCGGAUGAAUACAUAUUUAGUGUUCUAGUGAGUAAGUAAGUAAAUGAGUAAGUAAAAUGUAUUUAUACAGCGCUUUUCACAGACAGGGUCACAAAGUGCUUUACAAUGUGCAUAGACGAUAAAACAUAGUAGAACAUAGUCUAAGAAUAGAAUAAAGUACAAAUACAACAGAUAGAAUUAUCAAUAAAUAAAAGACAUAGGUUACCCAAAAGCUAGCCUGAACAAGUGAGUCUUCACUUGUCCCUUAAAACAGUCCACAUUCUCAGCAAACCUAAUGCUGGUUGGCAGAGCAUUCCAGAGUCUGGGUGCCAUAGCGGCAAAGGCUCUAUCCCCACAUGGCUUCAGACGAGUGCAUGGCGUGGAUAGCAGAUUUUGGUUAAUAGACCUGAGAGACCAGGAGGGGGGUGUGUAGGUGAAUUAUGUUGGCAAGAUGUGCGUCGAUCUCUUUAAGAGUAUUCUCUUAAAGAGAUCGACGUGUGUGUGUGCGUAAGGACUGGCUGGUAGAGUGAGUGACGGAGAUUAGCUUCGGAGCUAGUAGAGAGGCAUAGUGGGAGAAACAAAGUGUCUCCCCUGUGCUUUUCUGACCAUGGUGAGAAAUCUUUGGUCUUUGGUGUUUUUUGCCCCCAACGUCUCCUCCCAGGCAGCGCGGCAAUGGUUAUGUUU